rnacentral:rRNA from 1 species
GAUGAACGCUGGCGGCGUGCCUAACACAUGCAAGUCGAGCGAGAACCGCUGGAAUGACACUUCGGUAGAAUGAAAGCGGGGGAAAGCGGCGGACGGGUGAGUAACGCGUAGGUAACCUGCCCCAUACACAGGGAUAGCCUAGGGAAACCUGGAUUAAUACCUGAUGAAGCAACUGGUCGCAUGACCGGCUGCCAAAGAUUUAUCGGUAUGGGAUGGACCUGCGUCUGAUUAGUGAGUUGGUGGGGUAAUGGCCUACCAAAGCGACGAUCAGUAGCCGACCUGAGAGGGUGAUCGGCCACAUUGGAACUGAGACACGGUCCAAACUCCUGCGGGAGGCAGCAGUGGGGGAUAUUGCACAAUGGGCGGAAGCCUGAUGCAGCAACGCCGCGUGAGCGAAGAAGGUCUUUCGGAUCGUAAAAGCUCUGUCCGUAGGGGGAAGAAACAAAUGACGGUACCCCGGGAGGAACGCCCCGGCUAACUACGUGCCAGCAGCCGCGGUAAAACGU